rnacentral:rRNA from 1 species
AGAGUUUGAUCAUGGCUCAGAGCGAACGCUGGCGGCGUGCUUAACACAUGCAAGUCGAACGGGAAUUUGUAGCAAUACAGAUUCUCGUGGCGAACGGGUGCGUAACACGUGGAUAACCUUCCUUGAGGUGGGGAAUAACCCAGUGAAAAUUGGGCUAAUACCGCAUAACAUGACGAUGCCACAUGGUGUUGUCUUCAAAGGAGCAAUUCGCCACAAGAGGGAUCCGCGGCCGAUUAGCUAGUUGGCGAGGUAACGGCUCACCAAGGCGAUGAUCGGUAGCCGGACUGAGAGGUUGACCGGCCACACUGGAACUGAGACACGGUCCAGACUCCUACGGGAGGCAGCAGUGGGGAAUCUUGCACAAUGGACGAAAGUCUGAUGCAGCAACGCCGCGUGGGGGAUGAAGCUUCUCGGAGUGUAAACCCCUUUCGGCCCGGACGAAUGCCCGCAAGGGCUUGACGGUACGGGUAUAAGAAGCCCCGGCUAACUACGUGCCAGCAGCCGCGGUAAGACGUAGGGGGCCAGCGUUGCUCGGAAUUACUGGGCGUAAAGGGUCCGUAGGCGGUGCGGUAAGUUGGGAGUGAAAUCUCUGGGCUUAACUCAGAGGCUGCUUCCAAUACUACCGUGCUCGAGUGCGAGAGAGGCAAGUGGAAUUGCGGGUGUAGCGGUGAAGUGCGUAGAUAUCCGCAGGAACAUCCGAGGCGAAAGCGGCUUGCUGGAUCGCAACUGACGCUGAGGGACGAAAGCUAGGGGAGCAAACAGGAUUAGAUACCCUGGUAGUCCUAGCCCUAAACCAUCAGGACUUGGGGUUUGCCCUGUACGGGGCAAGUCCCGUAGCUAACGCGUUAAGUCCUGCGCCUGGGGAGUACGGUCGCAAGACUGAAACUCAAAGGAAUUGACGGGGGCCCGCACAAGCGGUGGAACAUGUGGUUCAAUUCG